rnacentral:lncRNA from 1 species
GAAAUCUUACUCUAAAACCAUCAGUUAUCAAACCAGACUCCAUCUGCCACAGAGAUGACCUUUCUUACAGCCAAACAAUGUUAAGAUUCAAAUAGUUCCAUGUUCUUUAAUGUCAGUAAAGCUUCUAAAAACUACUGCUAUAAAUAUCAAGACUUUUAAACUACUCCAAUGAAAAGUUUAACAUUCCUCUCAACACCUCCUAAAGAUAUACAAAAGUUACCAGAGCAUGUUAAAAAAAACAGGAACACGAAUCAAAGUUUGAUGCAUGUGUAAGAAUGAGACAAAUCAACUUCACAAAUGUUACCUUUGCUUUAAGUGCAAUUUUUUACUCAACAGCUUUAAAAUCCCUGGUCCUUUACACACAGGUAAGUCUCCCUCCCUCAUGGUGACCAAAUGUUAAGAAUGCAUUUUUUUUCGUUUUAAAGAGUAUCACUAUUUAAACACUGUGGCACUUCACUUGCACUAAAGUACACAUCAACAUAUUUAAACAGAAACUGUUACAUUAUAGUUCUUCAUAAACAACGUAACACAGGUUUUUGUACCAUUUCCGUUUUGAGACACACAAGUUUUAAAAGGACACAGCCUUGAUUUUAAUUAUAGUUAAGUAAAUAAAACACGAUUAGCCUUAAAUCUUUACAAACCAAAUACUGUAUUUAGAAAAGAAAGUGAAACUGAUUCUAAGUAAAAUCAAAUGAAGCUGAUUAUUCAUAAACCCUAUGCACUUUGAAUGAGUAGCACCGUAAAAAGUGAAUUAUUUUUACUCCAAAAAUGCAUGAGAGCCUGCAAUACCGUUGCUCUUUUGAAAAAGAGGAGUUAGCUAAACAGUUUUCAACCACUUUCACCGUUAUGGGAGUAUAUUUGCUUGAAAUAACUAACAUGUUUUCCCAUAAACAAGACUCCCCCCACCCCCGGGAACAUAAGAGCUAUUCAACAAAAGUAAUCUGAAUGCAUUCAUUAGAGGUUAAAGUCCUGGGUGAUAAAAGCUCCGUCCCGUCAAAUUUUCAUUUCAAAUAUCUGAAACUGAUGCUCCACCCAACACACCCCCCCAGGCCCCGCAAGCCGCCUUUCCAGAUCCUUCCUACAACAAAGAGAAACAUGUUCAUCCUACUAAAAAGUCUCCAGUACCACAUGGUGAUGACCUUGAACAAAAUGAAGCCUCAAGAAAGAAUAAGAAAAAGAAAGAAAAGUCUAAAUCAAAAUAAAAAAUCCUGAAAGUUCAAGAGCCACCAAGACUGGAAAAUAAUUUUUAAAAUAGUGGAAACAAAAGCCAAAUUCCAACAAAGUUGGAUUUGGGAGGCAUACUGACAGCACUGGGAAGAAGCAGCAUGCCUGGCAGGCCAAGCUGUUCUCCAGACCAGUUGUGUUCUCAGCUGGAGUAGUGCCCUUUCCAAAGAAGCCAGCUCAGAGGAGAGGGGCCACUGCUUCAGUCAGAUGAAGACUCCAUGCAACCCCUUGGACUCUAGCACCCCUCUGAUAAAAAAGGGGAAGCAGAGGGAGGUUCCCAAGGCCAAGAAGCCCACCUCAUGAAAGAAGAUGAUUCUGAAAGAAUGGGAAAAGAGUAAGCAGCAGAGACUCUGAGAAAAUGAUGUGAGCCCAGGUAUGGCCAGUGAUGAGGCACAGGAUACAGAGAGUGAUGCUGAGGAGCAGGCCGCCAAGCAGGCUGACCCCACAGGCAGGGCCAGAAGAAGUGGCCUCCUCCACUCCUGCAGUUGAGGGCCAAUCAGAAGAAAAGAGCCACUUUGUGCAGAGCUCCAGAAGGAUGCCAAGGCCUGCCAGCCUGUGGCCAACCAAGCCAGCUUCCCCAAGACCCACAGGGAUUACUGCAGUCAGGUGCUCAG